CGUGAUUUGGGCUAUAUUACGGACCCAAAAUUACUUGUUUCAGGCAUUGUUUUCGAAUUUUUUCAUGCAUCAAAGCUCGUUAAGACUAGAUGGGGUAUCCCUACAUAGCGGGUGGGACCCACGGCGAAUGGUUCAUCAAGUCUUCAAAAAAGAAUAUAUAUGAUUGCAUUGCAUAUACUAACGGAUGCGAUCAUACCAGCACUAAUGCACCGGAUCCCAUCAGAACUCCGCAGUUAAGCGUGCUUGGGCGAGAGUAGUACUAGGAUGGGUGACCUCCCGGGAAGUCCUCGUGUUGCAUCCCUCUUUUAUGUUUAACUUUUUUUUUUUGGUUAAAACUUUAUGACUCCAUAACUUUUAGACCGUGAGGCCAAACUUGGCAUGUGAUACCUUUUCGGAAAGCCCAAAGACAGCCCUCCGACGAAAGAAGCAGGACAAUGGAACUUUUCCAUUGACUC
rnacentral:rRNA from 1 species